rnacentral:piRNA from 1 species
UCACCUGCUUGGUGUGUAGGGCUCUCUCCU